CGGCGAGACCUGGAGGUGCGUCUUGAGGACAACCGCCGGGUAGAGCGCCGCGGAGACGCCGGAAAACAGCGCGGCGCCGAGCACAAAAAACCUCGACUUGUCAAGCAUCUCCCAGCUCACCUCAGCCGGCAUACCUCUCACCUCCUCAGCCCCACCCACCCUCGCCGUCGCCACUGCAGCGCCGCCAUCCUCGACGUCAACGGCGCCAAAGCUCAUCCCUUUCUCGACGCCCACCCGCAAGCAAAUCCCAGCCACUCCCAGAUCCAGUCAACACUCGCCGCCGCAAGAAGUCAUAGGAGGAGGAGGGGAUGGAGCAUCUCUCGAGCCGAGUGGACGUCGCCGGCGAAGUCCCCGGUCGCCGACGGCAGCAUAUCCGGCGAGGCAAGGCUUCCUCUGUCGUGGGUAGGUGAACGGCAAGGCGACGACGGCGAGCAGUGAGAAGAGAUGGGGGAAUUUCUGGGAUCUCGAGGGGGGUAAGUGAAUAAAUUUAUACGAGAUGAGGAUUAGGUGCCCUCUUGGUGACCGCCACGUGGCAGUAGUAGGCUGCUCAUGCUGAGAUGGGAGUCUUAUCGGCUUUGCGUCAAUCCUAAUUUGGGCUUAAUUCAAGCCCAUGUAUAGAUGAUAGAUUGGGCAAAGUCAAUUGUAAGCGCCGUUGGUUACACCAGAAGAAUAAGCUCUAAUCUUCCUUAAUGACCAUGCAUGUCUUCAAGAUUAAUUAUGGACAAAUUUAGGUGUUAAAAACUGCAUGUUUA
rnacentral:lncRNA from 1 species